GGAUCUCCUUCUUCUAGCAGUAUUUUGAGUACAUACAACUAUUUUUUGCCAUAAAAUAAAUACAUCAAAUAACUAAAUAAAUAUAAUGAUAAUAAAUCAGUAUACAGUUCAAAAUUUUGAUUACAUACUUUACCGUAACUAUAAAAUAGGGAUAAACUGAGCAAAGUGAAGCUUAAGAUGAGGGAAAAAAAUUGAAACAGUUAUCGCCAUCAUCGAUCCGGACCAACAGAGGGAGAGAUCAGAGGAAAAAGAAGAAAAAGGAGAAG
rnacentral:lncRNA from 1 species